rnacentral:rRNA from 1 species
GACGAACGCUGGCGGCGUGCCUAAUACAUGCAAGUCGAACGCAGUGGGGACGGGUGAGUAACACGUGGGUAACCUCCCAUCAGAGGGGAUACCACUUGGAAACAGGUGCUAAACCGAUACUGAUUGAUGGACCCGGUGUGCAUUAGCUCGUUGGGGGGGUAACGGCUCACCAAGGCCACGAUGCAUAGCCGACCUGAGAGUGGGAUCGGCCACACGGGGACUGAGACACGGCCCAGACUCCUAAGGGAGGCAGCGGUCGGGAAUCUUCGGAAAUGGACGAAAGUCUAACCGAGCAAAGCCGCGUGAGUGAAGAAGGUUUUCGGAUCGUAAAACGCUGUUGGUAGACAAGCGGUACCUAACCAGAAAGCCACGGCUAACUACGUGCCAGCAGCCGCGGUAAUAC